rnacentral:rRNA from 1 species
GACGAACGCUGGCGGCGUGCUUAACACAUGCAAGUCGAACGGAAAGGCCUCAGCUUGCUGCGGGUACUCGAGUGGCGAACGGGUGAGUAACACGUGGGUGAUCUGCCUUGCACUUCGGGAUAAGCUUGGGAAACUGGGUCUAAUACCGGAUAGGACAGCUGUUUAGUGUCAGUUGUGGAAAGUUUUUUCGGUGCAAGAUGAGCUCGCGGCCUAUCAGCUUGUUGGUGGGGUAAUGGCCUACCAAGGCGUCGACGGGUAGCCGGCCUGAGAGGGUGGACGGCCACAUUGGGACUGAGAUACGGCCCAGACUCCUACGGGAGGCAGCAGUGGGGAAUAUUGCACAAUGGGCGGAAGCCUGAUGCAGCGACGCCGCGUGGGGGAUGAAGGCCUUCGGGUUGUAAACUCCUUUCGACAGGGACGAAGCUUUUGUGACGGUACCUGUAUAAGAAGCACCGGCUAACUACGUGCCAGCAGCCGCGGUAAUACGUAGGGUGCGAGCGUUGUCCGGAAUUACUGGGCGUAAAGAGCUCGUAGGUGGUUUGUCGCGUCGUCUGUGAAAUUCCGGGGCUUAACUCCGGGCGUGCAGGCGAUACGGGCAUGACUUGAGUGCUGUAGGGGAGACUGGAAUUCCUGGUGUACCGGUGAAAUGCGCAGAUAUCAGGAGGAACACCGAUGGCGAAGGCAGGUCUCU